rnacentral:rRNA from 1 species
UACGGAGGGUGCAAGCGUUGUUCGGAAUUACUGGGCGUAAAGCGCGUGUAGGCGGGUCUUUAAGUCAGGGGUGAAAUGCCAAGGCUCAACCUUGGAACUGCCUUUGAUACUGGAGACCUUGAGUCCGGGAGAGGUGAGUGGAAUUGCGAGUGUAGAGGUGAAAUUCGUAGAUAUUCGCAAGAACACCAGUGGCGAAGGCGGCUCACUGGCCCGGAACUGACGCUGAGACGCGAAAGCGUGGGGAGCAAACAGG